rnacentral:rRNA from 1 species
AGUGAACGCUGGCGGCAGGCCUAACACAUGCAAGUCGAACGGUAGCACAGAGGAGCUUGCUCCUUGGGUGACGAGUGGCGGACGGGUGAGGAAUACAUCGGAAUCUACCCUGUCGUGGGGGAUAACGUAGGGAAACUUACGCUAAUACCGCAUACGAACUGAGGUUGAAAGCGGCGGACCGCAAGGCGUCGCGCGAUUGGAUGAGCCGAUGUCCGAUUAGCUAGUUGGCGGGGUAAUGGCCCACCAAGGCGACGAUCGGUAGCUGGUCUGAGAGGAUGAUCAGCCACACUGGAACUGAGACACGGUCCAGACUCCUACGGGAGGCAGCAGUGGGGAAUAUUGGACAAUGGGCGCAAGCCUGAUCCAGCCAUGCCGCGUGUGUGAAGAAGGCCUCGGUUGUAAAGCGACUUUGUUGGGUAA